rnacentral:rRNA from 1 species
UACAGAGGUGGCAAGCGUUGUUCGGAAUUACUGGGCGUAAAGGGCGCGUAGGCGGCCUUCUAAGUCAGACGUGAAAUCCCCCGGCUUAACCUGGGAACUGCGUCUGAUACUGGGAGGCUAGAGUAUGGGAGAGGGAUGUAGAAUUCCAGGUGUAGCGGUGAAAUGCGCAGAUAUCAGGAGGAACACCGGUGGCGAAGGCGGGUCUCUGGGCCGAUACUGACGCUGAGGAGCGAAAGCGUGGGGAGCAAACAGG